UACGGAGGGUGCAAGCGUUAUCCGGAUUCACUGGGUUUAAAGGGUGCGUAGGUGGGUCUGUAAGUCAGUGGUGAAAUCUCCGGGCUCAACCCGGAAACUGCCAUUGAUACUAUAGGUCUUGAAUUUUCCGGAGGUAAGCGGAAUAUGUCAUGUAGCGGUGAAAUGCUUAGAUAUGACAUAGAACACCGAUUGCGAAGGCAGCUUACUACAGGGACAUUGACACUGAGGCACGAAAGCGUGGGGAUCAAACAGG
rnacentral:rRNA from 1 species